AUUGAACGCUGGCGGCAGGCUUAACACAUGCAAGUCGAGCGAGCGGCGGACGGGUGAGCAAUGUCCUGGAAACUGCCUGAUGGAGGGGGAUAUCUACCGGAAACGGUAGCUAUUACCGCAUACCAUCACAUGUGCCCAGGUGGGAUUAGCUAGUAGGCGGGGUAAUGGCUCACUUGGGCGACGAUCCCUAGCACGUCUGAGAGGAUGACCAGCCGCCCUGGGAGUGAGACCCGAUCCAGGCGCCUAGGGGAAGCGGCAGUAGGGAAUAUUGCGCAAUGGGCGCAAGACUUAUGCAGCCAUGCCGCGUGUGUGAAGAAGGCCUUCGGGUUGUAAAGCACUUUCAGCGAGAAGGCGUUACUCGCAGAAGAAGCACCGGCUAACUCCGUGCCAGCAGCCGCGGUAAUUC
rnacentral:rRNA from 1 species